rnacentral:misc_RNA from 1 species
GUGCUCAGUGCCAGAAUGUUCACCCAAUGGCCAUGACCUUGCAGUGUUCUGCACAAAACUCCCUGGGAAAAAUACAGUGUAUAAUUAUAGCCUUAGCCUACAAGACUAUUUUUCAUUACUAAAACUGCCAAACACUACCACACAGGGAUAUGUUUCAGUAAAAAAAUGUUUUUUUUCUUUUUCUUUAUUAAACCAACAUAAGUGUGUAUGUACUCAGCAAGUGACAUUGUGUAGUAUUUGUUUGAAGUUGAUGUUCACAUUGUGCAAUAAACACUAUUUCAAUG